GCUUGACACUGAACAUUGAGCCUUGAUGUGUAGGAUAGGUGGGAGGCUUUGAAGUGUGGACGCCAGUCUGCAUGGAGCCGACCUUGAAAUACCACCCUUUAAUGUUUGAUGUUCUAACGUUGACCCGUGAUCCGGGUUGCGGACAGUGUCUGGUGGGUAGUUUGACUGGGGCGGUCUCCUCCUAAAGAGUAACGGAGGAGCACGAAGGUUGGCUAAUCCUGGUCGGACAUCAGGAGGUUAGUGCAAUGGCAUAAGCCAGCUUGACUGCGAGCGUGACGGCGCGAGCAGGUGCGAAAGCAGGUCAUAGUGAUCCGGUGGUUCUGAAUGGAAGGGCCAUCGCUCAACGGAUAAAAGGUACUCCGGGGAUAACAGGCUGAUACCGCCCAAGAGUUCAUAUCGACGGCGGUGUUUGGCACCUCGAUGUCGGCUCAUCACAUCCUGGGGCUGAAGUAGGUCCCAAGGGUAUGGCUGUUCGCCAUUUAAAGUGGUACGCGAGCUGGGUUUAGAACGUCGUGAGACAGUUCGGUCCCUAUCUGCCGUGGGCGCUGGAGAACUGAGGGGGGCUGCUCCUAGUACGAGAGGACCGGAGUGGACGCAUCACUGGUGUUCGGGUUGUCAUGCCAAUGGCACUGCCCGGUAGCUAAAUGCGGAAGAGAUAAGUGCUGAAAGCAUCUAAGCACGAAACUUGCCCCG
rnacentral:rRNA from 1 species